rnacentral:lncRNA from 1 species
AAAUAAAUAAAAGGUUUUUAUUUACUCUUUUGAUAUUUUUUCUUUCUUUCCAGGAAUAAAGUCUACUACUCACUGGACUGCAGACUAAAUAAAUAAUACAAGUGCCUAAUGCAGGGCCUGUCUUUCAGCCUCCUAGAUGUAUGGGAUUUACCUGGGACUAAUAGAUGCCAAAUAAACCAACAUCUUCAUUUUGAAGACAAAGAAACUGAGAUCCAGAGGGAAACCCCUUACUUAAAAUCAUUCAGUUCCUUCCAUUGUGUCAGAGAUCCUUUCCAAAGAAGACCCACACCUGUGCAGGGACCAU